CCCCUCUCUGGGUCACACCUGGAGAGUUUCCAGUACUCUACCAGUCUCGACUAUGGGAGGGAGAGUCAAACAGAGGCAUAUUCAUUUCAUUCCUAGCUUGGGCAGUGACCAGUGAGUGGAAGACCAUCUGCUACAAGU
rnacentral:snoRNA from 1 species